GAUCGAACGGCGUGGCGGCGUGCCUAACACAUGCAAGUCGAGCGGAUCGUUCUUACGGGAAGAGAGCGGCGGACGGGUGAGUAACGCGUGGGUAACCUGCCCUGUACACACGGAUAACAUACCGAAAGGUAUGCUAAUACGAGAUAACAUACUUUUAUUGCAUGGUAAAAGUAUCAAAGCUCCGGCGGUACAGGAUGGACCCGCGUCUGAUUAGCUAGUUGGUAAGGUAACGGCUUACCAAGGCGACGAUCAGUAGCCGACCUGAGAGGGUGAUCGGCCACAUUGGAACUGAGACACGGUCCAA
rnacentral:rRNA from 1 species